rnacentral:rRNA from 1 species
GCAAAACGCGAAGAACCUUACCUACUCUUGACAUCCAGAGAACUUUCCAGAGAUGGAUUGGUGCCUUCGGGAACUCUGAGACAGGUGCUGCAUGGCUGUCGUCAGCUCGUGUCGUGAAAUGUUGGGUUAAGUCCCGCAACGAGCGCAACCCUUAUCCUUUGUUGCCAGCGGUCCGGCCGGGAACUCAAAGGAGACUGCCAGUGAUAAACUGGAGGAAGGUGGGGAUGACGUCAAGUCAUCAUGGCCCUUACGAGUAGGGCUACACACGUGCUACAAUGGCGCAUACAAAGAGAAGCGACCUCGCGAGAGCAAGCGGACCUCAUAAAGUGCGUCGUAGUCCGGAUUGGAGUCUGCAACUCGACUCCAUGAAGUCGGAAUCGCUAGUAAUCGUGGAUCAGAAUGCCACGGUGAAUACGUUCCCGGGUCUUGUACACACCG